rnacentral:rRNA from 1 species
GGAAUAUUGCACAAUGGGCGAAAGCCUGAUGCAGCAACGCCGCGUGAGGGAUGAAGGCCUUCGGGUUGUAAACCUCUUUUAGCAGGGAAGAAGCGAAAGUGACGGUACCUGCAGAAAAAGCACCGGCUAACUACGUGCCAGCAGCCGCGGUAAUACGUAGGGUGCAAGCGUUGUCCGGAAUUAUUGGGCGUAAAGAGCUCGUAGGCGGUUUGUCGCGUCUGCUGUGAAAACCUGAGGCUCAACCUCAGACCUGCAGUGGGUACGGGCAAGCUAGAGUGCGGUAGGGGAGAUGGGAAUUCCUGGUGUAGCGGUGAAAUGCGCAGAUAUCAGGAGGAACACCGAUGGCGAAGGCAGGUUACUGGGCCACCACUGACGCUGAGGAGCGAAAGCGUGGGGAGCAAACAGGAUUAGAUACCCUGGUAGUCCACGCCGUAAACGGUGGGCGCUAGAUGUGGGGACCAUUCCAUGGUUUCUGCGUCGCAGCUAACGCAUUAAGCAAUCCGCCUGGGGAGUACGAUCGCAAGAUUAAAACUCAAAGGAAUUGACGG